rnacentral:rRNA from 1 species
CAUUGCUGGAACGCGCCCCAGGCGCACCCAGAAACCCUUUGUGAACUUAUACCUUACUGUUGCCUCGGCGCAUGCCGGCCCCCCUGGGGGCCCCUCCUUCGGGAGGAGCAGGCACGCCGGCGGCCAACCUAACUCUUGUUUUUACACUGAAACUCUGAGAAUAAAACAUAAAUGAAUCAAAACUUUCAACAACGGAUCUCUUGGUUCUGGCAUCGAUGAAGAACGCAGCGAAAUGCGAUAAGUAAUGUGAAUUGCAGAAUUCAGUGAAUCAUCGAAUCUUUGAACGCACAUUGCGCCCUCUGGUAUUCCGGAGGGCAUGCCUGUUCGAGCGUCAUUUCAACCCUCAAGCCUGGCUUGGUGAUGGGGCACUGCUUUUACCCAAAAGCAGGCCCUGAAAUUCAGUGGCGAGCUCGCCAGGACCCCGAGCGCAGUAGUUAAACCCUCGCUCUGGAAGGCCCUGGCGGUGCCCUGCCGUUAAACCCCCAACUUCUGAAAAUUUGACCUCGGAUCAGGUAGGAAUACCCGCU